AUUCGAUUGAUUCCUCUGGCCAACCAAUCAAGAUUCAGUCAAAGGAAUUUGUGUUCGGAAUACGUUGGCCCAACAGAACCGUACUAGAUGGAUGCUUAGGCGAGCGACUUAAUGUUUGGGAUGCCAAGGUUCCAGCAUCUCCUGUUGCUUAUGCUUGUGGUGGAGGACGAGUGGAUAUUCUAUCGUACAGCGACGCAG